UGUAAAUGUACUUUUUUCGAUUUCAAUUGACUGAAAACUUAUCUUUUAAUUUCAUACCGAAAAAAUAGUUGAACUCUCCCCCAAAGUGACAUGCGUAUUUAAAAUGAAAUACAAAAUCAUACAUGUAAGAUAAACUGAGAAUCGAAAUAUUAAGAAACUGCUAAUAAGGAUGACUGAAUGCAUGUACAAGAAGGGACCCACCCGCUUUUUAUCAAUACAUUUAAUGAAUAAACACGCUUUUAAAAACUGAUCGUUUUCUAUGAAUGUAACUAUAUAAAUAUUUACAAUAUAUAAUUUACGUUCGUUUUUCAACCGAGAAUAGCAAAACGGUUAAUUAUAAAAUUCAUAAAGUAUACCGCUGG
rnacentral:lncRNA from 1 species